AUUGAACGCUGGCGGCAGGCCUAACACAUGCAAGUCGAGCGGAUGAGAGGAGCUUGCUCUUCGAUUCAGCGGCGGACGGGUGAGUAAUGCCUAGGAAUCUGCCUAGUAGUGGGGGACAACGUUUCGAAAGGAACGCUAAUACCGCAUACGUCCUACGGGAGAAAGUGGGGGAUCUUCGGACCUCACGCUAUUAGAUGAGCCUAGGUCGGAUUAGCUAGUUGGUAGGGUAACGGCUUACCAAGGCGACGAUCCGUAACUGGUCUGAGAGGAUGAUCAGUCACACUGGAACUGAGACACGGUCCAGACUCCUACGGGAGGCAGCAGUGGGGAAUAUUGGACAAUGGGCGAAAGCCUGAUCCAGCCAUGCCGCGUGUGUGAAGAAGGCCCUCGGGUCGUAAAGCACUUUAAGUUGGGAGGAAGGGCUUACAGCGAAUACCUGUGAGUUUUGACGUUACCGACAGAAUAAGCACCGGCUAACUUCGUGCCAGCAGCCGCCGUAA
rnacentral:rRNA from 1 species